UGGGGAAUAUUGGACAAUGGGCGAAAGCCUGAUCCAGCCAUGCCGCGUGUGUGAAGAAGGUCUUCGGAUUGUAAAGCACUUUAAGUUGGGAGGAAGGGCAGUAAGCGAAUACCUUGCUGUUUUGACGUUACCGACAGAAUAAGCACCGGCUAACUCUGUGCCAGCAGCCGCGGUAAUACAGAGGGUGCAAGCGUUAAUCGGAAUUACUGGGCGUAAAGCGCGCGUAGGUGGUUCGUUAAGUUGAAUGUGAAAGCCCCGGGCUCAACCUGGGAACUGCAUCCAAAAUUGGCGAGCUAGAGUAGGGCAGAGGGUGGUGGAAUUUCCUGUGUAGCGGUGAAAUGCGUAGAUAUAGGAAGGAACACCAGUGGCGAAGGCGACCACCUGGGCUCAUACUGACACUGAGGUGCGAAAGCGUGGGGAGCAAACAGG
rnacentral:rRNA from 1 species